GGAGUCGGCCGGAUCGUCGCUGCGCGCGAGCGUGGAGGAAAGUCCGGGCUCCGCAGGGCAGGACGCCAGGUAACGCCUGGGCGGCGUGAGCCGACGGAAAGUGCCACAGAAAACAUACCGCCGAUGGGG
rnacentral:RNase_P_RNA from 1 species